UCUGAGAGUGCCAGGGACUCAGUUGG
rnacentral:piRNA from 1 species